rnacentral:lncRNA from 1 species
AUCCUUAAACAUGACACUCUAUUAUUCAUUUAUUGGUGAGGUACAAAAAGAAAAUUCUACAAUAAAAAAUCCCUUGAGAGUUUGCCAUUUAUGGUAGAUCUGAUCGCCUCUUAUCGAAGGGGAAAUGAGGAAGAUCAGAUCUGAUUAAAUUUACCAUAAAAAAACCAAAAUACAGAUCCGAUCUUUAUUUAUCCAUCAAAUCCGAUCAGAUCUACCAUCAAAAAACUGAAAUACAGAUCAGUAAUAAGAGGAAAAUGAAAUACACAUCAACACUCGUUAAUGGUGACAACCAUGAAAGUGGAUAUUACACGAACAAACGCAUCACCAUCUUCCUCCUUUCCCCUCCGAUCACAUCCACAACAUUCCUCCGCCACCGUUCCACCCCGUCGCCGCCACGCUACAACUCUUUUUCUUCCUCCGGCACUACCUCCUCCUCCACCGUUCAAUCCCUACCACCGAUCAGUCUGAGAAUGGAUGAAGAUGAAAAUGGAAG